rnacentral:tRNA from 1 species
GCGGAUGUAGCCAAGUGGAUCAAGGCAGUGGAUUGUGAAUCCACCAUGCGCNUAGCCAAGUGGAUCAAGGCAGUGGAUUGUGAAUCCACCAUGCGCGGGUUCAAUUCCCGUCGUUCGCC